UGCUGCAUGGCUGUCGUCAGCUCGUGUUGUGAAAUGUUGGGUUAAGUCCCGCAACGAGCGCAACCCUUAUCCUUUGUUGCCAGCGGUCCGGCCGGGAACUCAAAGGAGACUGCCAGUGAUAAACUGGAGGAAGGUGGGGAUGACGUCAAGUCAUCAUGGCCCUUACGACCAGGGCUACACACGUGCUACAAUGGCGCAUACAAAGAGAAGCGACCUCGCGAGAGCAAGCGGACCUCAUAAAGUGCGUCGUAGUCCGGAUUGGAGUCUGCAACUCGACUCCAUGAAGUCGGAAUCGCUAGUAAUCGUGGAUCAGAAUGCCACGGUGAAUACGUUCCCGGGCCUUGUACACACCGCCCGUCACACCAUGGGAGUGGGUUGCAAAAGAAGUAGGUAGCUUAACCUU
rnacentral:rRNA from 1 species